rnacentral:rRNA from 1 species
UGGGCAACCUGCCCCCGGCUCUGGGAUAACUCCAAGAAAUUGGGGCUAAUACCGGAUAUGACCGCUGACCGCAUGGUCUGGUGGUGGAAAGUUUUUCGGCUGGGGAUGGGCCCGCGGCCUAUCAGCUUGUUGGUGGGGUAGUGGCCUACCAAGGCGACGACGGGUAGCCGGCCUGAGAGGGUGACCGGCCACACUGGGACUGAGACACGGCCCAGACUCCUACGGGAG